ACGAACGCUGGCGGCGUGCCUAAUACAUGCAAGUCGAACGCUUCUUUUUCCACCGGAGCUUGCUCCACCGGAAAAAGAGGAGUGGCGAACGGGUGAGUAACACGUGGGUAACCUGCCCAUCAGAAGGGGAUAACACUUGGAAACAGGUGCUAAUACCGUAUAACAAUCGAAACCGCAUGGUUUUGAUUUGAAAGGCGCUUUCGGGUGUCGCUGAUGGAUGGACCCGCGGUGCAUUAGCUAGUUGGUGAGGUAACGGCUCACCAAGGCGACGAUGCAUAGCCGACCUGAGAGGGUGAUCGGCCACAUUGGGACUGAGACACGGCCCAAACUCCUACGGGAGGCAGCAGUAGGGAAUCUUCGGCAAUGGACGAAAGUCUGACCGAGCAACGCCGCGUGAGUGAAGAAGGUUUUCGGAUCGUAAAACUCUGUUGUUAGAGAAGAACAAGGAUGAGAGUAACUGUUCAUCCCUUGACGGUAUCUAACCAGAAAGCCACGGCUAACUACGUGCCAGCAGCCGCGGUAAUACGUAGGUGGCAAGCGUUGUCCGGAUUUAUUGGGCGUAAAGCGAGCGCAGGCGGUUUCUUAAGUCUGAUGUGAAAGCCCCCGGCUCAACCGGGGAGGGUCAUUGGAAACUGGGAGACUUGAGUGCAGAAGAGGAGAGUGGAAUUCCAUGUGUAGCGGUGAAAUGCGUAGAUAUAUGGAGGAACACCAGUGGCGAAGGCGGCUCUCUGGUCUGUAACUGACGCUGAGGCUCGAAAGCGUGGGGAGCAAACAGGAUUAGAUACCCUGGUAGUCCACGCCGUAAACGAUGAGUGCUAAGUGUUGGAGGGUUUCCGCCCUUCAGUGCUGCAGCUAACGCAUUAAGCACUCCGCCUGGGGAGUACGACCGCAAGGUUGUAACUCAAAGGAAUUGACGGGGGCCCGCACAAGCGGUGGAGCAUGUGGUUUAAUUCGAAGCAACGCGAAGAACCUUACCAGGUCUUGACAUCCUUUGACCACUCUAGAGAUAGAGCUUCCCCUUCGGGGGCAAAGUGACAGGUGGUGCAUGGUUGUCGUCAGCUCGUGUCGUGAGAUGUUGGGUUAAGUCCCGCAACGAGCGCAACCCUUAUUGUUAGUUGCCAUCAUUUAGUUGGGCACUCUAGCAAGACUGCCGGUGACAAACCGGAGGAAGGUGGGGAUGACGUCAAAUCAUCAUGCCCCUUAUGACCUGGGCUACACACGUGCUACAAUGGGAAGUACAACGAGUCGCAAAGUCGCGAGGCUAAGCUAAUCUCUUAAAGCUUCUCUCAGUUCGGAUUGUAGGCUGCAACUCGCCUACAUGAAGCCGGAAUCGCUAGUAAUCGCGGAUCAGCACGCCGCGGUGAAUACGUUCCCGGGCCUUGUACACACCGCCCGUCACACCACGAGAGUUUGUAACACCCGAAGUCGGUGAGGUAACCUUUUGGAGCCAGCCGCCUAAGGUGGGAUAGAUGAUUGGGGUG
rnacentral:rRNA from 1 species